rnacentral:rRNA from 1 species
GGGGAAUAUUGCGCAAUGGGGGGAACCCUGACGCAGCAACGCCGCGUGAGUGAAGAAGGUCUUCGGAUCGUAAAACUCUGUCAUAGGGGAAGAAGAGAUGACGGUACCCUAUGAGGAAGCCCCGGCUAACUACGUGCCAGCAGCCGCGGUAAUACGUAGGGGGCGAGCGUUGUCCGGAAUUACUGGGCGUAAAGGGUGCGUAGGCGGCCGAUUAAGUCAGAUGUGAAAUACCAUGGCUCAACCAUGGGGGUGCAUAUGAAACUGGUUGGCUUGAGUGCAGGAGAGGAAAGUGGAAUUCCUAGUGUAGCGGUGAAAUGCGUAGAGAUUAGGAGGAACACCAGUGGCGAAGGCGACUUUCUGGACUGUAACUGACGCUGAGGCACGAAAGCGUGGGGAGCAAAC